rnacentral:sRNA from 1 species
UGUCCUUAGGAGGCUACUAUCUGCCCAUG